rnacentral:rRNA from 1 species
CCGGAUAACCGGAGGAAGUGGGGAUGACGUCAAAUCAUCAUGCCCCUUAUGACCUGGGCUACACACGUGCUACAAUGGUUGGUACAACGAGUUGCGAGUCGGUGACGGCGAGCUAAUCUCUUAAAGCCAAUCUCAGUUCGGAUUGUAGGCUGCAACUCGCCUACAUGAAGUCGGAAUCGCUAGUAAUCGCGGAUCAGCACGCCGCGGUGAAUACGUUCCCGGGCCUU